GGACUCUGCUCCUUGAAAUGCUUCAAAGCCGUACGUAGUACAGUCCAGAACUAACAUUGUAAUGAGAAAAUUCAGCUCAUUUGCAUGUUCUUUUAUGGUUCAAUUUGACAAAUUCAAUUUAAUACGGAAAUAUUAUACAGGGAAGCUUGGCUCUUUGCCGCAGCAUUUAAUAAGCUAAGAAUAGCUGAGGAUUCCAGCAGAGCCCCGGGCAGCCAAAGACAAAGAACUAAAUUGUUUGCCUGUCUGGGUUUCUUGCCGUAGAAGCCUGCCUACGUGCCACUUUUUAAACAUGCCUUAUGGAGAAAAUCGCAAAGGCGCCCGGGAAGACAAUGCAGAGGCAGAGAAAGGCUGAAGGCUUCACUAAGAAUGAUUUAAAACCAAUCUAGAUGAUAUGCUCUUACUUUAGUUGUUCCUAUAUUUAUUAAUAGUAAAGACUUGCAUGCAGUAUUGGCAAAAUUCCAAAAGAGUUAUGACUACUUCCGACUGGGUCCAGAGCUGUAGGAAUCUACACCCUUCUGUAUCUUCCUCAUACCCAGCACGGCGGAAAUGAAAGAAGCCGCAAGGGAAUGAAAACUCAUUCUGCUGGCCUCCAUGAUUGGAAGUGAACUUUUCAACUUCUCAGCAACCUCCUCACACGCCUUCUCAAAGUACAAGUGCCUCCAACAUUUGACGAGACUGUGUUUAUUCUGCAAUCAGAAACCUUGGCUAAUUCCACCUUUAAUGAUAUACGCCAUCCCCAGCAGCAUUAGUAUUAUGCAUUGUAGGUUUGUGAUUGAUUUCACAGAUAAUGUUGGUAGCAAAUCAAAAUUUACAUGCACUAACACACAUGCUGCCACCUGUCUGUUUAACUGAGAAAUAAUUACUGUUGUUGCCACAGAUUAAUAUUAGGGAUUAUUGCUGCACAAUGGUUAAACUUUUAUUUCACAGUGUUGAGAUAAUAAAAUACACAAAUGAAACGCAAAAUAUAUAGUUUUUACCUGUCAUAAGAAGUGGUAUUAUCAACUGAAAAUAAAUAUAUCAGCGUAGCGGCACCUGCUAGCGCACGCAGAUAUCGAACCCGGCGUUCGGAAGUUGUGGUCAUGUGACUUGGGAGGGGCUGUUGUUUUUGCGCGGUUUUUCCCUUGCGCGCGUUAGUUCAGCGCUGACCACCGUUGUGGGCAGACGUGUCUGAUAAGCCUGUAUGCUGCAACUUGAACUUUCGAAUAAAGAUCUGUUGAAAACUC